AUUGAACGCUGGCGGCAGGCCUAACACAUGCAAGUCGAGCGGAUGAAGGGAGCUUGCUCCUGGAUUCAGCGGCGGACGGGUGAGUAAUGCCUAGGAAUCUGCCUGGUAGUGGGGGAUAACGUCCGGAAACGGGCGCUAAUACCGCAUACGUCCCGAGGGAGAAAGUGGGGGAUCUUCGGACCUCACGCUAUCAGAUGAGCCUAGGUCGGAUUAGCUAGUUGGUGGGGUAAAGGCCUACCAAGGCGACGAUCCGUAACUGGUCUGAGAGGAUGAUCAGUCACACUAGAACUGAGACACGGUCCAGACUCCUACGGGAGGCAGCAGUGGGGAAUAUUGGACAAUGGGCGAAAGCCUGAUCCAGCCAUGCCGCGUGUGCGAAGAAGGUCUUCGGAUUGUAAAGCACUUUAAGUUGGGAGGAAGGGCAGUAAGUUAAUACCUUGCUGUUUUGACGUUACCAACAGAAUAAGCACCGGCUAACUUCGUG
rnacentral:rRNA from 1 species